rnacentral:tRNA from 1 species
UCCGUUGUCGUUUAGUCCGGUUAGAAUCUCUGGUCUUCACCCAGGCGACCCGGGUUCAAAUCCCAGCAACCUAA